CCCUUAGACGUUCUGGGCCGCACGCGCGCUACACUGACCAGUGCAACAAGCAUCCGUCCUUGGCCGACAGGCUCGGGCAAUCUUUGAACGCUGGUCGUGAUGGGGAUAGACUUUUGCAAUUUUUGGUCUUCAACGAGGAAUUCCUAGUAAACGCAAGUCAUCAACUUGCAUUGAUUACGUCCCUGCCCUUUGUACACACCGCCCAUCGCACCUACCGAUUGAAUGGUCCGGUGAAGCCUCCGGAUUGGCGCGCACCUCGGUGCCGCCGAGAAGUUGGCUAAACCUUACCAUUUAGAGGAAGGUGAAGUCGUAACA
rnacentral:rRNA from 1 species